rnacentral:rRNA from 1 species
GAGGAAUUUUCCGCAAUGGGGGAAACCCUGACGCAGCAACGCCGCGUGGAGGAUGAAGUAUCUCGGUACGUAAACUCCUUUCGAUGGGGAAGAUAAUGACGGUACCCAUAGAAGAAGCCCCGGCUAACUUCGUGCCAGCAGCCGCGGUAAUACGAGGGGGGCAAGCGUUGUUCGGAUUUAUUGGGCGUAAAGGGUGCGUAGGCGGUUUGGCAAGUCUUAUGUGAAAUCUAUGGGCUCAACCCAUAGUCUGCAUGAGAAACUACCGGGCUUGAGUGAUGGAGAGGUGAGCGGAAUUCCUGGUGUAGCGGUGAAAUGCGUAGAUAUCAGGAGGAACACCUGUGGCGAAAGCGGCUCACUGGACCAUAACUGACGCUGAGGCACGAAAGCUAGGGGAGCAAACA